rnacentral:sRNA from 1 species
GAAAGCGAACACCGCGGGGCAAGAUGGUGGUUGUGCGUCGGCUGCUGCCCCGGGUCUGGCAGAACUCGGUUGUUUUGGGCUGAGACAGUGGCAGCUGCGGCCCCGACCCCGAGUGCGGGGACCUCCAGCGAAUAAAGAAAAAAUAACAAGCUUUUCUGAAGUGAGAAGCUGUUCUCAGCCACGAGUCCUGUGCAAGAUCACUAAUGAUUACCUGGCAUUUCUGCGACACAGGCAGGUCCUCAGGGUUUGUGCAAGUUUGCAAACAUGUUCACCCUGUCUCAGACCUCGAGAGCAUGGUUCAUCGAUAGAGCCCGUCAGGCACGAGAAGAAAGGCUUGUGCAGAAGGAGCGGGAGCGGGCAGCUGUCGUGAUCCAGGCCCAUGUCCGGAGUUUUCUCUGUCGGAGUCGACUGCAGAGAGAUAUCAGGAGAGAGAUUGAUGACUUUUUUAAAGCACAUGACCCUGAGUCCACUAAAAGAAGUGCACUUUGUAUUUUUAAGAUUGCCAGGAAACUGCUGUUCUUAUUCAGAAUCAAAGAGGAUAAUGAGGUAAAAUGAUAAUAGCAAACAUGUAUAAUACUUCCAUAUG